rnacentral:rRNA from 1 species
AUUGAACGCUGGCGGCAGGCCUAACACAUGCAAGUCGGGCGAGCGGCGGACGGGUGAGUAAUGUAUGGGGAUCUGCCUGAUGGCGGGGGAUCACUACUGGAAACGGUCGCUAAUCCCGCGUACCAUAGGAUGAGCCCAUGUGGGAUUAGGUAGUUGGUGAGGUAAAGGCUCACCAAGCCGACGAUCUCUCGCUGGUCUGAGAGGAUGACCAGCCACACUGGGACGGAGACACGGCCAAGAAUCCUACGGGAGGCAGCAGUGGGGAAUAUUGCACAAUGGGUGCAAGCCUGACGCAGCCAUGCCGCGUGAGUGAAGAAGGCCUUCGGGUUGUAAAGUACUUUCGGUGGCGAGGCGUUAACUGCAGAAGAAGCACCGGCUAACUCCGUGCCAGCAGCCGCGGUAAUUC